GCCGCCCCCGGCCCCGCCCCCGGCGGGAAUCCCCCCUCCCGCCGUCUCUGGGGCCGUCGGUGGGGGUGGCUGCGCCAGGCGAUGGGGACCGAGCCCCGGCGGGCGCCGUCCGGCCGUGGCGUGAGUUAGUGGAUGGCUGAAAGUUGGCUUGACCAUUGAGUUGCUGAAAUGUUUUGCUGCUUGAGAGCCGUGCGAAGGUUAUGUCUGGAGAAGAUAUUGCUACAGUGCAUUCUUCAGUCAAGAACUUUGUCAGGAGCUGAUGCCAUCAAUGCUCUCAGACCUUUCUAUUUUGCUGUGCAUCCAGAUUUCUUUGGCCAGCAUCCCAAAGAGAGGGAAGUAAAUGAAAACUCUCUGAAGAGGUUAAAUGGCUACUUGGAGAAUCUACAGAAACCAGGAUUUCGCUCCUUUAAGCCAACUCAGCUUACUUUUUAUGUAAGAGAAAGAGAACCAAACUCUUCUAAUGUUCAAGAAUCCUUCAGUGCUUCAGGGUUUCGAGCAGUCAGUUUUACAUUACAUACUAGGGAUCUCCUGAGCACAGUAUUAGAUAUUCUCAACUCCUGCAGUUUAUCUACGGAGCAUAUUCAGAGUUUGAAUGUGAACUCUCAGACCCACAAGGAAGCAAAAAGCGCAGUGAACAGACCUAUCAAAUGGGAUAAGACUUACUAUUCAUUUACUGGAUUCAAGGAUCCUGAGGAGGAACUAGAACAAGCCCAGAGAGUGGAAACAACUUUAAUAUCCUGGCUAGAUGAUAAUGAAGCAAGUGCAGUAAAAAAGCUGAAAAAGAGUUUGCCACUUAGAAAAGAACUAGAACGUUUAAAAUUUGAACUCUCUCAUCAACUUGAGCUCUCAGAUAUCAGGUGGCAGAGAAGCUGGGGUAUUGCUCACCGCUGCAGCCAACUACACAGUCUAGGUCGCUUAGUCCAACAGAGACCUGAAGUAUUAAAGAACGUUAAAGGACGCACGGUGGUAUUUACAGACCGUUCAGGUAUGAGUGCAGCAGGCCACAUAAUGCUGGGGACCAUGGAUGUUCACCAUCACUGGACCAAAAUUUUUGAGAGAUUGCCAAAUUAUUAUAAACUUCAAAAAAGGCUGCUGUUCUUGGAAGAUCGGAUAAGCCAACUUCUGGGAGGCAUACAAGUAAUAUAUAUUGAAGAACUGCAACCCCUGUUGACUCUGGAAGAGUACUAUGAGACUCUGGACUCUUUCUAUAAUAAAUUGCGUGACAGUAGACUACCUUUUCAUCCUCGCAGUCUGCGAGGCUUGCAAAUGAUUCUGGAAAGUGACAGAUAUGCACCAAGCUUACAUGAAUUUGGACACUUUACAAUCCCAACGGUCUGUGAUCCAGCAACCCUUCAAUGGUUUAUUUUUGCUAAAGCACAGGAGGCAAGAGAGAAUCUGAAAAGAAAGGAGGAGAUGAUGAUUACAGAAAAAGAGCUAAUCGAUACUUCCACUGAAAAAUUUUCUUUGGAUCGGCUGUAUAAAGAACCCAGUGUUUCCAGUGCACAGAUGAUAGAUUGUUGUAAGCGACUGCUAGAAGAAUCGUUGCCAUACCUACAAGGCAUGCACCUUUGCAUUUCGCAUUUCUACUCUGUGCUGCAGGAUGGAGACCUGUGUAUACCUUGGAACUGGAAAAACUGAGGACAUAUCUGAUAAUCAGAUGAAUUGUUUAUUUUCUGUAAGAGGCUAUAAAUAUGAAUGUUUUUAAGAGUAAAUUAUUUAAAUCUGUAUUUUGAUAUCAGUAUUCAACCCACAAAUUUUCUUCUAACUGCUGCUCAAAAAGGAUCGGAGUCCUAGACAAUUUGCACAAUGCGCAGUGUUGCCAGUUCUGGGAAAGAUACCUGUACAUUCUCCAUACUACUGUAGGAGUCCCAGUGUAUGGUAGCAGUUGUGAAACCACAUUUUUGUAGUGAAUUACAAAAAUAUAUUAAAUUGCAAGUCUGCAAAAAUGUGCAUGUGUAUUUUUAAUAUACAUGGAUAUUGCCAGAUAGAUCUUCUUAAAUAGAGUGUACGACUCAAACCAGACGUUACAUGUCAUCUUAAGGGAUUCACUGAAUGCAGAAGUUGAGUACAUGAGUUACCUGGUGGCAAUAUUGGCAUUUCGUAUUGCUACCUCUUACUGAAUUAAAAAAAAAAAAGACAAAGGAAAAAACAUCAGAGUAUUUCUACUUUGCAGAAGAAAGCGGUUCAUUAACUUGGUCUCUACAGUAGAGUUUCAUAUGCUGGUCCAAUAUUGUUGCCUUAGAAUUUCAAAAUACGCCAGUUGUACUGUCUGCAGUUACUUUAGAGGAGAUGUUGUUCUCUUUUUGUUUUCCGGCAUUUGCUCCAUAAAUACAGACAAUCCUCUUUACCUACACUAUAACAGGUUGCAAAUUGCAUUCACAACACUUGAAACCUGAGUAGUUUAAUGUGACAUCUGAGGAAAAGGAAGCAUUGAUUUGUGUGGGAUUGUCUACAAGAGUAAGUACUUCUCAGUGAGAGCAAGGAGUUUGCAGUAAGGCAAAUGCAUGGAUCUUUACUGGUACUUUAUUCCUUGAAAAAAAUGAAUUAAAGUGUGAAUGUAUGUCAACACUUUUUCAUUGUAAUACAUGCCAAGAUGCAUUUUGUGUUUGGUUUACUACUUUGCAAAAUACCCUUGGAGAAGAACCAACUGCUUAACGAUUCUGGACUUGAAUUCACCUAUAACAACUGGCAAAAAGAAAAAAAAAAAAAAAAAGAGUUGUCAAAUGCUUACUUGCCUUGUAUUUAUAUUUGUAUUAGGCAGGGAAAUUGUUGUGGUUCUCUGUUUUCCCCUGUUAAAAAGCUAGGUGUCAAGUUGUUUAUUAUGUUGCCAAACUUAAAACAAAACCCCCCACUGUGAUCUCAAACAUGUCCGUUUUAAAACAUUGAGACAAAGCUGUGACUUUCUCAGGCCUUUAAUUCAGCCAAAUUCCUGUAUAGGUUCUGAAGAUCAGUUGAUAGUUUCUUCUAAGUAGUUAACUUCCAUUGCACAUUACUUGCCCUCGCUCCAUCUGGCAUUGAUGGAUACUGUCUGUGUCCCGGUUGUGCUAAGCAAGUGAUCCAGUCCUGUCAGUUGUAGCCCAGCAAUAUUCCCUGUGACAGCUCUUUGGAAGUAGGAUGUCUUCAGGAAUAAAAGCUGAGUGUAGUAAUUUUUUUUUUCCCUGCUUGAAUUGAAUGACUCCUUACAGGUCUUCAGGCAAGAAGCAGCUGUCCAGUUUGACUGUAGAGGAGAUAAAAAAAAAAGUCUGAGGGAAGGGGCAUAGUUGAGCAGUCAGCUAAUGCCUGUGGUAGCUGUGUGCACCCUCUCUCUGUAAUGGGAUAUUCUGGGACCAUUUACUAAAAGCAGCAAUCGGAUGAGAACCUGAUGUCCUCCUUCAAGACUGCUCUGUGAUCUGGCGGCCACAGUUCAAGAUCAAGGCGUUUCUUUGAUAGUGCUUUGUCCAACCCACACAUUAUUUUACCCAUCAGUUUGUCAUUCUCCUGGGAACCUCUCGUUCAGGGUUGGUUUUUUUAAUGGGAUGUUUCAAGUUCAUUGAGUCAGUGGGUCAUAGUUGUAGACUGAGUUUUUGAGUCCUACUUGUGUUAUAGUUCAAGGGCAUGGGUAACCUGUUUUCAACUUGCAUUGAUUUCAGACAGUCCAUCGAGAUAGAGCUCUAACUUCUACACAAUCACACAAUGCUCAAAAAAAUAAAUUUAAAUGCAAAUCCCUCAAUUUCACACUUAACUAAAAUUCCUAGAAAGUACUUAACAAUAAGCACUACAUCUAACUUUAAUUUGCUUUCUCUCACCGAUCUGGAGCCAGGGCAGCCUUGUACAGAGUCUGCAUGAUUUGGGGCUCACCCUGCUAGCAGGGGUCUGCAAAGGCAGUAUUGGCUCAGAGAAGCAGAGCUACCAAGGGUGAGUCAGUGCUGUCUUCAUCAGCACUGCCUGUGCAGCCCCAGGGGAGGACAUCCAAUCGCAGCAGCCUCUCCAGUGGGGUAGCCUGAGGAGCCCUGCUCAUUUUAAAAAAAGAAAAAACACCCCAAAAACCAAACCAAACAAACAAAAAAACCUCCACAAAAACAAGUGAGGAAUGGCCUUUCUGAAACUGAUAACCUGGUUUUGCAGCAGUGUUGAGAGAGUAACAGCUCAUGGUGUUACAAGCCAAUUCUCUGGUGCAGUUUUGCACAUUUCAAAUAAGGGAAGAUUCCUGGAGGAUGAUGCUGCUGUCUUCAGUAUGGACAAUCCCUCUAGCCAGGUGAUAUUUAAACACAGGGCUGUUAGUGUAUUGCGUGAUCAGAUGCAUAUUCCUCUCUGUUUAGUCUUCGAGCUUGUGAGACCUUUCUCCAAAGGUCACAAAGUGUUCACCUAAAUGUGACUAACCAGUUCACAAAGGUUUUGGCAACAGGGAAUCUUGUCUUGGUCAGUAGUUGUAUGAUGCCUGGAAUAGCUGGGUCUCUUGCACUCUUUAUUACCACCAAAAAAAUCAAAUUAAUUAAUCAGAAUUUAGAAGCCUGUAUGGUUGCAAAUGUUUUUUCACUUCUCGGAUCUUUGCUGUCCUGGUAUGACAGACUUUGGAGGGAAUACAAGCUGUGCUGUAAAUUGGGGGAUGUAUAUGCAUUCUGGUUUUAGCCAGAAAUCUGUGCUGAAGCCCAAGAUCCCCUAUCUUGAUUUUGAGAUGGUGAAAAGUGGGUGGGACAGAAGGCCCUGCAGGUCUGAACCCCUCCUGGCCAAGAUUGGGACUUAAAAAAGAAAAUUACGUAUCUCUUUCUUGCUACUGUAUGGUUCUUUCCAUCUUUGCUGGGUAUGGAAACUGUUAACUGUAAUCUUCUGGCAAGAACCACAUUUCAUCUACAAUUUAUGCUCUGGUCUAAAAAUGCGGAAAGGAACAACAAGGUUUAGGAUUGCACAGCUUGGCGCUUACAGUUUUUGCCUACCUCCUUCGUAAUGUAGUUUGUCGUGGCCAACACUGAAUGGCUGAUCUUAAGAGCAGGUUCCAACUGAGAUUUCUAGGUAUAAUUUAGUAGCAUAUCACUACCUGGGUGGCAGCCCUUUGAAAGCCUUGGAGACCUUAUUGCCUUUGCAGGUAUCUUCAGAUGUCUUCAACAAGUCCUAACAGACGUUCUCAGCUCACAGGUCUCUCUUAGAAGCCUUGAAACUUAAUUAUGUCUUAAUUUGAAAAAUCUCUUGUGAAAAGAUACUCUCUCAUCCAAGUAAAGCUGUAUAAGGCUGUAUGGUGAGUGUAGUGUGUCUGUGUGGCUGGUUGGCACUAGAAGUUUCUUUCAGAGAAAAGGACUGCUGUUCUGGCUAGGUAUGAAUGUCCUGAGUUUCUCCUUCAUCAGGUUAUUCUUGGUAGAUACAAAUGACAGACCGGUUUAUUCUAAAUGCCUGUGUUCAGAAGUGGUUAAGAAGAGAGCAUGAAGGGAUUUGGUGUUGAGCACAUCUCUGUCUUCCUCCUUCAUCUCCUCCAUUUGUUGUCUCAAGCACUAGUGCCAUUGGGCUUCUCCACCUUGAGUGAACAUGGACCAUUGGCUGCGAUGGUGACAAAGAGUUUGGCAAGAAAUAAUAAUCCAGGGUUUCCAAAACUGCUUUCUGCUUCCGAUGAAAUAAAAGCAUCGCUGGGUACAGGCUGUCCCUCUGUGUCUUAAACCCUCAUGCUCCAUCAUAGUGUUACAAUAUGUACUCUGCCUGCAUUCAAAUAUGUUCUAGCAUGUUGCUCAUCUCAGUGGUAGUCUGUAGAGAUUUUGUACAAAUACUGAGUCAUCCAUGGCACAGGAUAUUUGGUAACUCCUCAGUUCUUUCUUGCUUUAAAGUUUGUCCUGGUUUUGUCAUUCUGUCAUUGUUACCUUCCUUUAUAAUGUUCAUUUAUUCCAAAGAUAAACCAGCCUUUCUUGAGGACAGAGUUAAUACUAGGUGAAACACUAUUAUGCAGCGAUUAAUGGAAGCCUAGAUGCAGUUAGCAAUUACUUAAAAUGGGCUGGAUUUCCUAAUGAUUACUUUGUUCCGUACAAAUUUAUUUUGCAGACAACUUACUAUACUGAAUUCUUCUUGGAUAAUGAAUUUGUGAGACAUUUUCAACAUCACCCUGAGGCACAAGCAGAAAUUGUCUCCUCACUGACCAUGUAUGACAAAUAACUAAAAUGGAUAGGCUCUUGCACAGACCCUGCACACUUGAAAGGCCUGCACAAUUCCUAGCUUCUAGGGGAAAAAAACCCUUGACUGUAAGUGAGGAGAACUGCGCUGGAGAAUUUGAGCAUUAUCAUCAUGGUGCACUGUUAAAGUCACAGAAUAUGUCUUUAGGUAAAAGGCAUAAACAAAUGAUAUGUGAAAAACAAUUUGGAGUAGCUCUAAGCUCUCCUAAUGUUUCCCUUUCUGCUUUAUUAGUCAUUCUAAACCUCCUGCUACCCGGGCUAUAACCUUGGGAUUAUUCUUUAUACGAUGAGCAUAUUUAGAGUCAAAUUUUGUGUCCCAUAACUUUAACCAUAGCAUACAUUAUUAAAAAUUAAUUUAAUGGUCCUCUAGGAUCCAACUCUGGAGGUAGCAAACAAGCAUCUCAGUUAUAUAUUGUCUUCAAUUAUUCAUUAAGAACUAUGGGGAUUUUCUAGAACAUAUCUCUAGCGAAGCUCAAAGCUGUUCUCCUAGUGCCAGCAACAAAGCUCUGCUACUUAGUUUAACAGAAAUGGACAUGAUUUCCCUGUUGGGUUUCUCGUUUGAACUGUGUAAUAAUUUAUCGCAUUUAAUAAAGUUUAUUACAAACAUGA